GAGAAGCGUUCUCUUUUCAAUGUAAUGUGUGUUUUCUAGCUGGAAUAAUAUUAAUGGAGAACAAUCCAAGUUCAUCCAGAAUUGAUAGAAAAUUCAUCGAGAGAAAUAGAAGAAAUCAAAUGAAAGCUCUCUACCGCAAGCUCAACUCACUUGUGCCUCAUCAAAGCUCGAGGGAGGAAAUUUCAGUGACGGAUCAGCUAGAGGAAGCAACAAACUACAUAAAGAAGUUACAGAUGAACCUGGAGAAAAUGAAGGACAAGAAGAACAUGCUACUAGGAAUUGAAAGGCCAAAUGAGAGCAUGAAUCGAGGAAAGAACAUGGGGUUAAAAUGUCCACAAAUUGAGAUCCAACAAAUGGGCUUAGCCUUGGAGGUUGUUCUAAUAACUGGGUUGGAUUGUAAGUUCAUGUUCAAUGAGACCAUUCGUGUUCUUCAUGAAGAAGGAGUAGAUAUUGUUCAUGCCAGUUAUAAAGUCGUUGAAGAUGUAGUUUUCCAUUCAAUUCAUUCUAAGGUAGGGGACUCUGCCUAUGGAGCUGCGAAGAUAUCUGAGAGGCUAAAGAAGUUUAUGUGUGAUUCUACCUAUAAUGCCUCUUAAAAGUAUAAUAGUCAAAAUAUAAGUAAUUUCAAGAGCAUAGUAUCGUUUCAGCUAUAUAUAUACAGGGAAAAAAGAAGUAUUAUUUAAAAAAUCUUUUUAGAUGAUUUACAUAAAGUAUGACCGGUCAUAACAAAGUAUGACCGGUUAUACUCUGUGUAAAUUUGAAAAAAA